rnacentral:rRNA from 1 species
UCUGGUGAUGAUGGCGAAGAGGUCACACCCGUUCCCAUGCCGAACACGGAAGUUAAGCUCUUCAGCGCCGAUGGUAGUCGGGGGUUUCCCCCUGUGAGAGUAGGACAUCGCCAAGC